UAGUUCAGAAGUCCAACAUGGGUCUUUUUGGAUCAAAACCAAGGUGUCAGCAGGGAUGCAUUCAUUCUGGAAGCUCUAGGGAAGAAUCUCUUUCUUUGCCUUUUCCAGUUUCCAGAAUCAUUCACAUUCCUUGGCUCAUGGCUCCUUUCUUCCAUCUUUGAAACCAGCGGUGUUAUAUCUCUCUCUUGUCCUAUCUCUUUCUCUGAUUCUUUUUCUUUUUAAUGUUUAUUCAUUUUUGAGAGAGAGAGAGAAAGAGAGAGACAGAGUAUGAUCAGGGGAGGAGCAAAGAGAGAAAGGGAGACACAGAAUCAGAAGCAGGCUCCAGGCUCUGAGCUAUCAGCACACAGCCCGACACUGGGCUCAAACCCACAAACUUCAAGAUCAUGACCUGAGCCGAAGUUGGAUGCCCAACCGACUGAGCCACCCAGGAAGAAGUGAUCUCAUAUGGGUAUUAAAGCAAAGGAUGACUUCAGAAGGUUGAGGGCCUAAGGACAUUCAGAUGUAAAAGUUAAGACAAGAAGAAGAAAGGGGAAGAAGAAAAGAACAAGGAGUUGGAGAAUAGCUGUGAUGGCUUAUUAGCUGCAGAUAAGGAGCCAUUGUUUUCUGAAGGAGGUGGCAUGGAAGACAGGAAUAGCUGUUGCCCUUUCUACCAUGGUCGCCUGGAAAUGCCUUGUCUUCCAUCCAUGGACCCACCCACCAGGAUGGCAAACAGGAAGAGGGUCCUAUGCUCACUGACUAAGUCAGGACAAAGAGAGCCACACGGUAUCCUUACACUGGAAUGACACUUUAUGGUCACUGCUCUUUUAGCGAACUGGUUAGUCUACAGGCUCACCACUCAAAGUAUAGUUCAAGAACCAGCAUCAUCAGUGUCACCUAGCAAUGUCUUGAAAUACAGAACCUCUACCCCAAACCUGUGGAAUUAGGAUCUGCAUGGUUAUCAAGAUCCCCAAAUCCAAAUGGACAUUAAAGUUUG